rnacentral:rRNA from 1 species
GACGAACGCUGGCGGCGUGCCUAAUACAUGCAAGUCGAACGAGUGGCGGACGGGUGAGUAAUGUCUGGGAAACUGCCCGAUGGAGGGGGAUAACUACUGGAAACGGUAGCUAAUACCGCAUACCAUCGGAUGUGCCCAGAUGGGAUUAGCUAGUAGGUGGGGUAACGGCUCACCUAGGCGACGCUCCCUAGCUGGUCUGCGAGGAUGGCCAGGCACAAUGGAACUGAUACACGGUCCAGACCCCUACGGGAGGAAGGAGUUGGGAAGAUUGGACAAUGGGGGCAAGCCGGAUGCAGCCAUGCCGAGUGGAUUAAGAAGGCAGUCGGGUUGUAAAGUACUUUCAGCGAGGAGGCGUUACUCGCAGAAGAAGCACCGGCUAACUCCGUGCCAGCAGCCGCGGUAAUUC